rnacentral:rRNA from 1 species
UACGGGGGGGGCAAGCGUUGUUCGGAAUUACUGGGCGUAAAGCGUGCGUAGACGGUUGCGUAAGUCAGAUGUGAAAGCCCCGGGCUCAACCUGGGAAUUGCAUUUGAGACUGCGUAGCUAGGGUGCGGAAGAGGGAAGCGGAAUUUCCGGUGUAGCGGUGAAAUGCGUAGAUAUCGGAAGGAACACCAGUGGCGAAAGCGGCUUCCUGGUCCAGCACCGACGUUCAGGCACGAAAGCGUGGGGAGCAAACAGG